rnacentral:rRNA from 1 species
UAGGGAAUUUUCGGCAAUGGGGGAAACCCUGACCGAGCAACGCCGCGUGAAGGAAUAAGGUUUUCGGAUUGUAAACUUCUGUUAUAAAGGAAGAACGGCGGCUACAGGAAAUGGUAGCCGAGUGACGGUACUUUAUUAGAAAGCCACGGCUAACUACGUGCCAGCAGCCGCGGUAAUACGUAGGUGGCAAGCGUUAUCCGGAAUUAUUGGGCGUAAAGAGGGAGCAGGCGGCAGCAAGGGUCUGUGGUGAAAGCCUGAAGCUUAACUUCAGUAAGCCAUAGAAACCAGGCAGCUAGAGUGCAGGAGAGGAUCGUGGAAUUCCAUGUGUAGCGGUGAAAUGCGUAGAUAUAUGGAGGAACACCAGUGGCGAAGGCGACGAUCUGGCCUGCAACUGACGCUCAGUCCCGAAAGCGUGGGGAGCAAAUAGGAUUAGAUACCCUGGUA